UACGUAGGGGGCAAGCGUUGUCCGGAAUUAUUGGGCGUAAAGGGCUCGUAGGCGGUUUGUCGCGUCGGGAGUGAAAACACCGGGCUUAACUCGGUGCUUGCUUUCGAUACGGGCAGACUAGAGGUAUGCAGGGGAGAACGGAAUUCCUGGUGUAGCGGGUGAAAAUGCGCAGGAUAUCAGGAGGAACACCGGUGGCGAAGGCGGUUCUCUGGGCAUUACCUGACGCUGAGGAGCGAAAGUGUGGGGAGCGAACAGG
rnacentral:rRNA from 1 species